UACGGAGGGGGCUAGCGUUGUUCGGAAUUACUGGGCGUAAAGCGCGCGUAGGCGGCUUUGUAAGUUAGAGGUGAAAGCCCGGAGCUCAACUCCGGAACUGCCUUUAAGACUGCAUCGCUAGAAUUGUGGAGAGGUAAGUGGAAUUCCGAGUGUAGAGGUGAAAUUCGUAGAUAUUCGGAAGAACACCAGUGGCGAAGGCGACUUACUGGACACAUAUUGACGCUGAGGUGCGAAAGCGUGGGGGAGCAAACAGG
rnacentral:rRNA from 1 species